rnacentral:rRNA from 1 species
GAUGAACGCUAGCGGGAGGCUUAACACAUGCAAGUCGAGGGGCAGCAUAGGGUAGCAAUACUCUGAUGGCGACCGGCAAACGGGUGAGUAACGCGUAUGCAACCUACCCUGUACAGGGGGAUAACCCGGAGAAAUUCGGACUAAUAUCCCGUAAUAAUAUCCGGAGGCAUCUUUGGAUAUUUAAAGUUUCGACGGUACGGGAUGGGCAUGCGUAACAUUAGCUGGUUGGUAAGGUAACGGCUUACCAAGGCUAUGAUGUUUAGGGGUCCUGAGAGGGUGGUCCCCCACACUGGUACUGAGACACGGACCAGACUCCUACGGGAGGCAGCAGUGAGGAAUAUUGGUCAAUGGGCGCAAGCCUGAACCAGCCAUCCCGCGUGCAGGAAGACGGCCCUAUGGGUUGUAAACUGCUUUUCCAGGGAGAGAAACUUACGCACGUGUUGCGUGACUGACGGUACCCUGGGAAUAAGCAUCGGCUAACUCCGUGCCAGCAGCCGCGGUAAAACGUCUA